rnacentral:rRNA from 1 species
AUUGAACGCUGGCGGCAGGCUUAACACAUGCAAGUCGAGCGAGUGGCGGACGGGUGAGUAAUGUCUGGGAAACUGCCUGAUGGAGGGGGAUAACUACUGGAAACGGUAGCUAAUACCGCAUACCAUCAGAUGUGCCCAGAUGGGAUUAGCUAGUAGGUGGGGUAACGGCUCACCUAGGCGACGAUCCCUAGCUGGUCUGAGAGGAUGACCAGCCAAACUGGAACUGAGACACGGUCCAGACUCCUACGGGAGGCAGCAGUGGGGAAUAUUGCACAAUGGGCGCAAGCCUGAUGCAGCCAUGCCGCGUGUGUGAAGAAGGCCUUAUGGUUGUAAAGCACUUUAAGCGAGGAGGCGUUACUCGCAGAAUAAGCACCGGCUAACUCUGUGCCAGCAGCCGCGGUAAUUC